rnacentral:rRNA from 1 species
UACGAAGGGGGCUAGCGUUGUUCGGAAUUACUGGGCGUAAAGCGCGUGUAGGCGGGUCUUUAAGUCAGGGGUGAAAUGCCAAGGCUCAACCUUGGAACUGCCUUUGAUACUGGAGACCUUGAGUCCGGGAGAGGUGAGUGGAAUUGCGAGUGUAGAGGUGAAAUUCGUAGAUAUUCGCAAGAACACCAGUGGCGAAGGCGGCUCACUGGCCCGGAAUUGACGCUGAGAUGCGAAAGCGUGGGGAGCAAACAGG